UACGGGAGGGUGCGAGCGUUAAUCGGAAUUACUGGGCGUAAAGCGUGCGCAGGCGGUUUGCUAAGACAGGUGUGAAAUCCCCGGGCUUAACCUGGGAACUGCGCUUGUUACUGGCAGGCUUGAGUGUGGCAGAGGGGGGUGGAAUUCCACGUGUAGCAGUGAAAUGCGUAGAGAUGUGGAGGAACACCGAUGGCGAAGGCAGCCCCCUGGGCUAACACUGACGCCUCAUGCACGAAAGCGUGGGGAGCAAACAGG
rnacentral:rRNA from 1 species